GGUCCUGGCUCAGGAUGAACGCUAGCUACAGGCUUAACACAUGCAAGUCGAGGGGCAGCAUGUUGGUUGCUUGCAACCAAUGAUGGCGACCGGCGCACGGGUGAGUAACGCGUAUCCAACCUACCCUUGUCCAUCGGAUAACCCGUCGAAAGGCGGCCUAACACGAUAUGCGGUUCACAGCAGGCAUCUAACGUGAACGAAAUGUGAAGGAGAAGGAUGGGGAUGCGU
rnacentral:rRNA from 1 species